rnacentral:rRNA from 1 species
GAUGAACGCUGGCGACGUGCCUAAUACAUGCAAGUCGAGCGAAUGGAUUAAGAGCUUGCUCUUAUGAGGUUAGCGGCGGACGGGUGGGUAACACGUGGGUAACCUGCCCAUAAGACUGGGAUAACUCCGGGAAACAGGGGCUAAUACCGGAUAACAUUUUGAACCGCAUGGUUAGAAAUGUAAAGGCGGCUUCGGCUGUCACUUAUGGAGGGACCCGGGUCCCAUUAGCUAGUUGGUGAGGUAUCGGCUCACCAAGGCAACGAUGCGUAGCCGACCUGAGAGGGUGAUCGGCCACACUGGGACUGAGACACGGCCCAGACUCCUACGGGAGGCAGCAGUAGGGAAUCUUCCGCAAUGGACGAAAGUCUGACGGAGCAACGCCGCGUGAGUGAUGAAGGCUUUCGGGUCGUAAAACUCUGUUGUUAGGGAAGAACAAGUGCUAGUUGAAUAAGCUGGCACCUUGACGGUACCUAACCAGAAAGCCACGGCUAACUACGUGCCAGCAGCCGCAGUAA